AUUGAACGCUGGCGGCAGGCUUAACACAUGCAAGUCGAGCGGGGGAAGGUAGCUUGCUACCGGACCUAGCGGCGGACGGGCGAGUAAUGCUUAGGAAUCUGCCUAUUAGUGGGGGACAACAUCUCGAAAGGGAUGCUAAUACCGCAUACGUCCUACGGGAGAAAGCAGGGGAUCUUCGGACAUUGCGCUAAUAGAUGAGCCUAAGUCGGAUUAGCUUGUUGGUGGGGUAAAGGCCUACCAAGGCGAAGAUCUGUAGCGGGUCUGAGAGGAUGAUCCGCCACACUGGGACUGGGACACGGCCCAGACUCCAACGGGAGGCAGCAGUAGGGAAUAUUGGACAAUGGGGGGAACCCUGAUCCAGCCAUGCCGCGUGUGUGAAGAAGGCCUUAUGGUUGUAAAGCACUUUAAGCUAGGAGGAGGCUACUUUAGUUAAUACCUAGAGAUAGUGGACGUUACUCGCAGAAUAAGCACCGGCUAACUCUGUGCCAGCCGCCGCGGUAA
rnacentral:rRNA from 1 species